GCAUUCCGGGCGGGCUUCGGUUCCGGGUGUGCCCGGUGAAAAGGGAAUGCGGUGCGGCGCCUCGCCAAGUCCGCGACUGUCCCCGCAACUGUAAGCGGCGAGCGAGGGCGCAACGGCCACCGGCUGCAACCGGGAAGGCGCGUCCGGGCGAUGACCCGCAAGUCAGGAGACCUGCCGCAGCCUCACCCGAUCC
rnacentral:ncRNA from 2 species